CCGCGGUAAUACGGAGGGGGCUAGCGUUGUUCGGAGUCACUGGGUGUAAAGCGCGCGUAGGCGGCCUGUUAAGUUGGGUGUGAAAGCCCGGGGCUCAACUCCGGAUGCGCAUCCGAGACUGGCGGGCUUGAGUCCGGGAGAGGGCGGCGGAAUUCCCAGUGUAGAGGUGAAAUUCGUAGAUAUUGGGAAGAACACCGGUGGCGAAGGCGGCCGCCUGGUCCGGAACUGACGCUGAGGCGCGAAAGCGUGGGGAGCAAACAGG
rnacentral:rRNA from 1 species